AGUGGCGAACGGGUGAGUAAUACAUCGGAACGUGCCCUGUGGUGGGGGAUAACUAGUCGAAAGAUUACCUAAUACCGCAUACGACCUGAGGGUGAAAGUGGGGGACCGCAAGGCCUCAUGCUAUAGGAGCGGCCGAUGUCUGAUUAGCUAGUUGGUGGGGUAAAGGCCCACCAAGGCGACGAUCAGUAGCUGGUCUGAGAGGACGAUCAGCCACACUGGGACUGAGACACGGCCCAGACUCCUACGGGAGGCAGCAUGUGGGGAAUUUUGGACAAUGGGCGAAAGCCUGAUCCAGCUAAUGCCGCGUGUGUGAAGAAGGCCUUCGGGUUGUAAAGCACUUUUGUCCGGAAAGAAAUGGCUCUGGUUAAUACCUGGGGUCGAUGACGGUAC
rnacentral:rRNA from 1 species